GUAUAGCUCAGAACUGCUCAUAUAUUACCUGCAUGACCACAGCCACUAAGGCAACUCUUUAUUGUGGCAUAACUCCCAUCUAAGUCCUGUGUCAUAUAUCCAACAACUCUGUGUGAUCCUGAGGUCUUUGAACCUGGCAACUAAUGCUAACCUGGUGCAAAAGAUUGCCUCUAUUUCUGUGUCAUUUGUUGAUUCUGAUUUUACAGUGGUCCCCUGAGAAUUCAGAGAAAGCUAUUGAACACUUGCUUGCAAUCUGGAAUAGAUUAGUGCUGGGAAAGUUUUGGCUUGUCUAAACCAGAUUUGUUUGUUUAAUUUUUCUCACACUAGCACAUUUUCUGUCUUUUGCCUGCAGGCAGGUUACCUCUUGACAGAACAUGGGUGCCACACUUGACUCAUCACAACAGGAGCAGAGAUUGUUCUGUACUUCUGAGAGCUGCCUUGACCUGUUUUUCACAUUGAGGUUAGAAGCCCAGCAAGAGACAUCAAAGUCACUUUCCUGCUUAGCUUGGCCUGGGGGACUGCUGUAGAUCUAAACGCCGGGGGAUGUCUCUAUUGGAGCAAAAAGAGUCACCACCUGACAAACAGAUUUCUUAACAGCUCCACUGGAAAUGUGACUGGCCUCUGCAGCAAGUCUUAUGCCUGAUGGGCCUCCAGGAGGCACAGACAAGGCCAUAGCCUUUUGUGCAACUGGUAAGGAAGUUUGGGAUAAGAUAAUUGGAUUUCAAAAAGGAAACCCCUAGAUAUUGUAUACAAAAAGCA
rnacentral:lncRNA from 1 species